rnacentral:rRNA from 1 species
GUACGGGAGGCAGCAGUGGGGAAUCUUGGACAAUGGGGGAAACCCUGAUCCAGCCAUGCCGCGUGAGUGAUGAAGGCCUUCGGGUUGUAAAACUCUUUCGCGCACGACGAUAAUGACGGUAGUGCGAGAAGAAGCUCCGGCUAACUUCGUGCCAGCAGCCGCGGUAAUACGAAGGGGGCUAGCGUUGUUCGGAAUUACUGGGCGUAAAGCGCGCGCAGGCGGUCUUCCAAGUCAGUGGUGAAAGCCCGGAGCUCAACUCCGGAACUGCCAUUGAAACUGUGAGACUUGAGUAUGAGAGAGGUGAGUGGAAUUCCCAGUGUAGAGGUGAAAUUCGUAGAUAUUGGGAAGAACACCGGUGGCGAAGGCGGCUCACUGGCUCAUUACUGACGCUCAGGCGCGACAGCGUGGGGAUCAAACAGGAUUAGAUACCCGGGU